UGAGACGAAACAACGUAAAUUUCCGCAAUAAAUUGAACUUAUCCAAAAAGAAAAAAUUAAGAUGAUGACAUACGCAAACAGCAAGACAUUGAUAAUUGCAGUAAAUUCGUUAUUUGUUAUUGUUGUUAUCUUGUUAGUUAUCUACCAUUGCGGCAAUAAAGUUGAAAAACCUCAAAAUAACUAAGAAUUACUGUAUUAUCGGUGCCUUACAAUGUCAACCACACAUCGCUGUUCACCAAUAAGAAACGGGAUACUCAAUUUAUUGUUAUGGCAUAAAAGUAUGAUACAAAAAAUAAUAAAUAAGAUGAACCGAUGAACAACAUU